rnacentral:rRNA from 2 species
UGAGGAAUAUUGGUCAAUGGACGCAAGUCUGAACCAGCCAUGCCGCGUGCAGGAUGACGGCUCUAUGAGUUGUAAACUGCUUUUGUACGAGGGUAAACCUAGGUACGAGUACCUCGCUGAAAGUAUCAUACGACUAAGGAUCGGCUAACUCCGUGCCAGCAGCCGCGGUAAUACGGAGGAUCCAAGCGUUAUCCGGAUUUAUUGGGUUUAAAGGGUGCGUAGGCGGUUUGAUAAGUUAGAGGUUAAAUGUCAGUGCUCAACACUGGCCUGCCUCUAAUACUGUUGGACUAGAGAGUAGAUGCGGUAGGCGGAAUGUAUGGUGUAGCGGUGAAAUGCGUAGAGAUCAUACAGAACACCGAUUGCGAAGGCAGCUUACCAAACUAUAUCUGACGUUGAGGCACGAAAGCGUGGGUAGCAAACAGG